UACGGGGGGAGCAAGCGUUGUUCGGAUUUACUGGGCGUAAAGGGCGCGUAGGCGGCCCGCUAAGUCGAACGUGAAAUCCCCAGGCUCAACCUGGGAACUGCGUCCGAUACUGGCAGGCUUGAAUCCGGGAGAGGGAUGUGGAAUUCCAGGUGUAGCGGUGAAAUGCGUAGAUAUCUGGAGGAACACCGGUGGCGAAGGCGGCAUCCUGGACCGGUAUUGACGCUGAGGCGCGAAAGCUAGGGGAGCAAACGGG
rnacentral:rRNA from 1 species